rnacentral:ncRNA from 1 species
CUGACGGGCGCGUCCGGGUCGAAUUGCGGACUGCAACACCCGAUCUCCCUGCCGAUACCGCCAUCGAUGGCGGUAUCGGCAGGGGAACGCGUCACCAUCAG